GGCUCAAUAGCUCAGGGGUUAGCACACUGCUCUUGUAAACUAGGGGUUGCAAGUUCAAAUCUCACUAGGGCCU